UGCUCCACGCCACUCAACCGUGCACCGCCGCCGCAGCUGGGGUGCUCGGCGCUGCGGCUAGGCCAUCUAACGUUGUCAUGCCAAGAAGAGAGGAAGAGCGGCUGCCUACCGUGGAGGACCUGCAGCAGCUCGCCGUCCUGCAUCAGCAGCAGCAACUCGCCGUCCUGCAUCAGCAGCAGCAACUCGCCGUCCUGCAUCAGCAGUAACAGCAUGCCCUGCAUCAGCAGCAGCAGCACCACCAGUGGCGUGGUACGGAGGAGCUGCCACCGCACCCUGCUGUGCCCGCGGUUGCAGCAGCUGCUGGAGGCGGAGGACACCAGUAGCAGCUCCCCGUCGUGCAGCAUCAGCAGGGGACCGGCACAGAACGGGUAUCGCCGCACCUCGCGUCAACUCUCGACCAGAACGCUGCAGAAGCUAGGUGCUCGGUGCUGCUGGAGAACCUCAAUUUAACAUCCCAAGGUAACCAGUGUAUACAAACCAUUUAGUACUAAAUAACUCCUGAUCUUUCAUGUGUACAUCUUACUAGCUAGUUACAAAAAUAAAAUUUAGAACCAUAAUUAUCAUGCCAUGCUAAAUAGUUAAGUUUAUUGUGCUCACAUGAAGGAGCAUAAUAAAAGCCCUGUUUAGCAGGGCUCCGCCUCCGAGAGCGGCUCCAAAGCGGCUCCGGAACCUGCCAAAGGGGUGGGAAUGGAGCAGCUCCACCGACGGAGCCGCGGGGUUCCCGCUCUCUGGAGCCAUUUUGUGGUGGAGGAGCCACAAAUUCGUAGCUCUGCACGGCUCCUCCGGCAUCUCGAUCUGGUCUGCCACCUUUGCCCUCCGAGAUGGCGCGAACGGAGCCCGUGCCGCGGCGGAGCGGGAGGCCAGGCGGCGAUCGGAGCUCGUGCCGUGGCGGCGAGGCAGGCCGGGCGCACGGCGGGAGGCCGGGCGGCGCCGGGAGCUCGUGCCGCGGCGGGGCGUCGGGAGCUCAUCCCGUGGCGAGGCACGGCGGGAGGACGAGCGGUGCCGAAGUCUGCGCCACGGCUGGGCAUGGCGGGAGGUCGAGCGGCGACGGUGACGGCUACGGGAGGCCGGGGCGCCGGGGCGGCCUUCUUCCUCCACUUGUUGCGCCAGCCCUUGACCCUGCGUUCGGCUCUCAUCUCCACGCCUUCCAGGCUGCCGGUGGCUCCCCGCUGCUGCUUGCAAUAGCUGCACCGCCGAUGGGUGACUGCUGCUCCUAGCAUUCAUGCUCCAAGAGCCUGAGGAUGGAUUGGAUCGAUGGACAGUGGAAUGGAUAAGGAGGAAAGGAAAACAAAAAAAAGAAAAUAGGAUGAAAAAAAUAGAAAAUAUAAAAUAGAAGUAUUAUGGACAUUUAUUUAUUUUCACAUAAUUUAAAAUUGUAAAGUCAGUGCAAAUAUAGAAGUAAGUCACCUGCACAAACACGCCAAAUAGCUAAGGGUAUAUUGGACAUUGACCUCUCCUA